rnacentral:misc_RNA from 1 species
UCACCUCUCAAGCCUGGCUUGCUGUUGGACUUUAGGUCUUGCUUCGGCAUGACCGGUCCCAAAGAUAAUGACGGCGUCUGUGAGGACCCCAGUACAUUGAGCUUUUAUUAGCACGUAUUAGGCGGAAGUCCAGGCCCGGUCUUAACUAUAUUUUAACAA